rnacentral:rRNA from 1 species
UCUUGACAUCCCGGAGACCCUUGGAAACUAGGGGUGCUUCCAUCUGGAAGAAUCUGGAGACAGGUGCUGCAUGGCUGUCGUCAGCUCGUGUCGUGAGAUGUUGGGUUAAGUCCCGCAACGAGCGCAACCCUUGCCUUUAGUUGCCAGCAGUUCGGCUGGGCACUCUAAAGGGACUGCCGGUGUUAAACCGGAGGAAGGUGGGGAUGACGUCAAGUCCUCAUGGCCUUUAUGACCAGGGCUACACACGUACUACAAUGGCCGAUACAAAGGGCAGCGACACUGCGAGGUGAAGCCAAUCCCGUAAAAUCGGUCUCAGUCCGGAUUGGAGUCUGCAACUCGACUCCAUGAAGUUGGAAUCGCUAGUAAUCGUGGAUCAGCAUGCCACGGUGAAUACGUUCCCGGGCCUU